rnacentral:rRNA from 1 species
CAGUAGCCGCGGGAAUACAGAGGGUGCGAGCGUUAAUCGGAUUUACUGGGCGUAAAGCGUGCGUAGGCGGCUAAUUGAGUCGGAUGUGAAAUCCCCGAGCUUAACUUGGGAAUUGCAUUCGAUACUGGUUAGCUAGAGUGUGGGAGAGGAUGGUAGAAUUCCAUGUGUAGCGGUGAAAUGCGUAGAGAUCUGGAGGAAUACCGAUGGCGAAGGCAGCCAUCUGGCCUAACACUGACGCUGAGGUACGAAAGCAUGGGGAGCAAACAGGAUUAGAUACCCCGGUAGUCCCUGUCUCUUAUAC